UACGUAGGGACCGAGCGUGGUCCGGAUUCAUUGGGCGUAAAGAGCUCGUAGGCGGCUGCUCAAGUCGAAUGUGAAAACUCGAGGCUCAACCUCGAGCCUGCAUUCGAUACUGGGCGGCUAGAGUCUGGUAGGGGGAUCUGGAAUUCCUGGUGUAGCGGUGGAAUGCGCAGAUAUCAGGAGGAACACCUAUGGCGAAGGCAGCUCGCUGGGACGGUACUGACGCUGAGACGCGAAAGCGUGGGGAGCAAACAGG
rnacentral:rRNA from 1 species